rnacentral:rRNA from 1 species
UACGAAGGGGGCUAGCGUUGCUCGGAAUCACUGGGCGUAAAGCGCACGUAGGCGGACUCUUAAGUCGGUGGUGAAAUCCUGGAGCUCAACUCCAGAACUGCCUUUGAUACUGAGGAUCUUGAGUUCGGGAGAGGUGAGUGGAACUGCGAGUGUAGAGGUGAAAUUCGUAGAUAUUCGCAAGAACACCAGUGGCGAAGGCGGCUCACUGGCCCGGCACUGACGCUGAGAUGCGAAAGCGUGGGGAGCAAACAGG